UGAGGAAAACCCCGCUGCAGUGUGAAAAUAAUAGUCUUGCCAAUGGAAAAAGCGACCAAUUUUUGCAGUACAUUAACAUGAAUUUGCCUAAACAUCCACAAUCUGUGGCAGUAGGGGGUAUCAGGGAAUGUGAAACACACUGCUUGAAUAACUGCUCUUGCACUGCUUAUGCUUACAAAGACAACGCUUGCUCGAUUUGGGUAGGAAGUUUCGUGGGUCUGCAACAGCUACAAGGAGGUGGAGAUACCAUUUAUAUCAAGCUUGCCGCUUCUGAGUUCGAGAGUCCCAAGAAUAACAAGGGAGUAGUCAUUGGCAGUGUUGUGGGCUCAGUGGCUGUCGUAGCUCUUAUUGGCCUGAUCAUGCUUGUACACUUGAGAAGGAGAAAGACAGCAACUGUAACAACCAAAACUGUGGAGGGUUCUUUGGUGGCAUUUGCAUACAAGGAUUUGCAAACUGCCACAAAGAAUUUCUCUAAAAAGCUGGGGGGAGGAGGUUUUGGUUCAGUUUUCAAAGGGGUGUUGCCGAAUUCAAGUCUUAUAGCUGUGAAGAAGCUUGAAAGCUGGAGCCAAGGAGAGAAGCAAUUUCGGACUGAAGUCAGUACCAUAGGGAAUAUCCAACAUGUCAAUCUGGUUCGGCUUCUGGGUUUCUGCUCUGAAGGUACUAGUAGGUUGUUGGUCUACGAUUUCAUGCCAAACGGUUCUUUAGACUCUCAUCUCUUCACUGAAAAAGAUUCAGACUUUCUUGAUUGGAAGACAAGAUACCAAAUUGCACUGGGGACAGCCAGAGGUUUGGCUUAUCUUCAUGAGAAGUGCAGAGACUGCAUCAUACACUGUGACAUAAAGCCAGAGAACAUUCUGUUAGACGCUGAAUUUUGUCCCAAAGUGUCGGAUUUUGGGCUGGCAAAGCUUGUUGGGAGGGAGUUCAGCCGUGUCCUAACAACCAUGAGAGGAACAAGAGGUUACCUUGCACCUGAAUGGAUUUCAGGAGUGGCCAUAACAGCCAAAGCGGAUGUCUACAGCUAUGGAAUGAUGCUGUAUGAAUUUGUAUCAGGAAGGAGGAACUCCCAGGAAUCUGAAGAUGGUAAAGUGAAGUUCUUCCCAUCUUGGGCUGCUAAACAAAUAGUUGAAGGCAGCAAUCUCAUUAGCCUAUUAGACCCAAGACUGGAGGGCAACGCUGACGAAGAAGAGCUUGCAAGACUUUGCAAUGUGGCUUGUUGGUGCAUCCAAGAUGAUGAGACUCACAGGCCAUCAAUGGGUCAAGUAGUUCAAAUUCUUGAGGGAGUUUUGGACGUGACACUGCCUCCAAUUCCCAGAGCUCUCCAAGUAAUGGUCGAUGACCAUGAGCACGUAGUCUUCUUCACUGAAUCAUCCACAUCUCAGAGUUCCCUGUCAAAGAGCAACAAUUCAACUGCUUCAUCUCAAGCAAAGAGUACCACAUCAUCAAGAAGUUCUUAAAUCGAUGUGAAGAAAAUAUUUUAACAUUUGUGUUUAAGAAUAUAUAUUUGGUUUAUUUCACUUGUAACAACCUGUAUGCAUAUUUGGAUAGAAGCCUUGCUUCGUAGUGUAUAAUAAUAAUGCCCCCUGCCAAAGCAAUUUUAAGAAUCACAAGCCUUGUGCCUCGCUGUUCUCUCUAAUGAACUCUGAUUGAUCUAUGCUCCUCUGCAUUGACUAUUGGCUUCACCUAAUCGCUUCAAUUGGCAAAAUUAGGUAUUGAAAUGAAAGCGACUUGGAACUUGGAAGUUAUCCAGAAGAAGGGGAAAAACAGCAAAAACAAUCAAACAAACAAACAUAAACGUGACGUAGUAACAAAUAACAUGGGUCAAGAUAUAAAUCAACUGGCCAACAUUGUUCAAUAAACUUUUUCCAACAUCUAAACUUUUUCAACCGAACCUGAAUUUUCUUGAGAGUUUUUUUGAGGCAUCAUGAUUGGUAAGGAGCUUGAAGGCAAAGUUCAACAGUUUCAUGACAAAGUUACAACCAUCGAUGAAAAGGUUACGACCUUAGCCAAGCAAAAUAACGAUUUGCAGAAACUCAUGAAACAUCCUUCAGCAAUUGAGCCAGUUGCGAAAAGAAAAACAACCGACUACUGAUCAAAGACAAGUUGAUAUAUUUACUGGAGGGACCUCUGCUCCUCAAAUGGUAAUUGCUACCCAACCACCUCUUGAACCUGCCGAACGCAUUGGAAGUACUCUCAUGCAAGCUCGUAACAUAUGACUUGACUUUCUUAUUUUUCAUGGUGCCAAUCAAACGGGAUGGAUUUUUCGAUAUGAGCAAUAUCGUCGCCUUACUGGAUUAUCAGAUGCUGACUUAUUGUCCUUAGCUAUUGGCCAUCUUGAUGGUGAUACUGUACCUUGGUUUAAUUGGAUAGAGCAAACUAUGGGCGCAAUUUAAACGGGCUUUGACUACUCAAUUUGGGACAUUAGAAGAGAAUGAUGCAGUUGGCAGUCUUACCAAACUACGUCAAAUAGGGACCGUUCUUGACUAUCAACGACAAUUUGAAAAGUUGGCUAAUCAGACUAGAAAUUUAACUGAGUCUUUCUUUAUCAGUUGUUUCCUCUCUGGGUUGCGUGAAGAUAUCAAGGCUGGCGUACAACUGUUCAAACCUGUUAGUCUUGUACAAACUUUUGAACUUGCUAGGUUUAGUAAAAGACAAUUACUUUGCAAGGCAACUGUUCCCCUGUUCCUGCCAUCCAAGAUCUAGUCCCACAAUUACAGCCGACUCCUACUCCACCAACACCCUCUUUAUUAGGACUGAUUUCCUCUACCUUACCUAAUAAUGUCAAACGUUUAUCCUCAGCUGAGCAGACAGAAAGACGUUCUGAAGGGCUCUGUUUCAACUCUGAUGAGCAAUUCAAGCCUGAACAUCGUUGCAAACAAUCUCAACUAUUGCUUUUAGACGCUGCUAUACCUCUUCACAACCCUCCAAAACCGCCUGACCAUCAUUCGGAUUGGAAGAUCUCGAUUAUUGAGACUGGGUAAAAGGCUUUCAGACAAGCCUGUUUGAAGGGGCAGGGAAUGUUAGGACCCUAAUAAUUUAUUUUAUUACUUGUUUUAAUUUUUUUUCCUAUUAAUACUAGGUUUUCUUAUUUCAAUUAUGAAUUAAUGCUCUUAUUAAAUUACAAUUAGAACCGUCUUGAACUACUAUAAAUAAGUGGUUCUUAUUAUAUUUUUGAAGGAGCAACAAUAAAAUUAAUUCUAAUCUCAGUUAAUUCUUCUCUCUUCCCUCUGAAUUCUUAAAUUCUUCAUUUAUUUCUCCCUUAAUUCUCUAACCAAAACCUCAUAAUCCUACCAGUAACGGACUGCAUUACGUUCGAGAAGACGAUUUACACACACACAAGAUAAUAAAGGCAUUUAAAUCACCUAAUUAAGUUGUAUAGGGAUAAAUAAUUAAAUUACAAAAAGCUCGACAUAUACUGAAAAAUAAAAAAGAAAUUGAACAAAGUCAUAAAUUUAUUGACAUCUAAAUUCUGAAAAUUGGUGUGUGUCUUCAGUAGGGAAAGUUAUCAUUUACAUACGGUUAUUUUUAUUGAUAUUUAAUACCUCUAUUUUAUGUUCAAUUGGAAGGAAUUCUAGGCUGUUCAGUUUUCUACUUACGGUAUUAUCACGAUCGUUGUUAUUGAGAAAAUUGUGGCAAUUUUUUUGAUUGAUAAUGAUGAUUUUAGUACGUGGCAGGCUCGGUGAUGCUGUUAUUUCGCGGAGCAUUUGGAUGCCCGCUCUAUACUGGUGAUUUUCGCUGGGAAGCAAGUAAUCAGAGGGCCGAGAUAGGAAGGAACACGCUCGUCAAAGCUUUAAAAGAUGAUGUAGUCGACAUUCUUUAUUUGGAUAACACAUAUUGCAGUCCAUCAUAUGCUUUCUUGUUUGAGAACUUUAUAUAUCCAAACUGAUAUAUGAUAGCAGGUACACUUUUUAUAUUUUUCCUUUCUUGUUUGAGAACUUUCAGUUUCACUCCAGAAUUAUCUACUGAAUUAAAGAUUAAAAUGGGAGAUGAAAGAAAUAGUCCAGGUACUGAUUUGUAGUGUUAGUUAUCUGGAUGAAAACAGAUUGUUGACAUAAUUGCCUCCCAUCCAGAUCAUGACAUCAUCAUUGGGAUUGACUCACUUGGAAAAGAAAAACUUUUAUUUCACAUAUCGCAUAAGCUCAAUAUAAAGGUUUGCUCACCCUUUUAAUAUCGGAAAACCUUUUCUUACAUAACGAUCAUCACGAUGGUCUCUCCAAGGGGGAUGAAAUCGAUAGCAUAUAUACAGCAAAUUGACAUGUUAUCUAAUUUUUGGAUCACUUGUAGAUGAUUUAGAAGGAUUUUGAUAGUUUUUAUUCUUCUAACAUCUAAAAUAUGUUUUACUUUUUAGAAACUGGGCGGGUUAGAUUGUCAUUUGGUGGAUUUAAUUGUGGCCAAAUUCAUACAUGAAAUGUAUUGUCACACAUGUAUUAUUGGAUGCAUCCAAUUGUAUGUUCUUCCUCUUCAUGUGCCAUGAGAACUUAAAACUGCCCUCUUCAUCUCUUGCAAAAUGUUGUUUAGUCACAAGCAAGUGGAAUAAAAUUUUUGCAUUCAUUUCCAAAGCAGAUAUUUACUCUGUGUUUCUUGUUUCACAUUUCUUUUUUUUUUUAUAGAUUUGGGUGUGGCCAGAACGCCUGCAAACCAUGCAUCUGCUUGGCUUCCAUGACACAUUCACAACCAAAACUUCUCUUGCUAGAGUGCGAGCUGUUCCACGGUAUAGUUUUAGCAUUGAUACUUUAGAGAAUUUAAAUACAAUGCACCAAACCAUUGGAAUUAUGCCAUCUGGUCUUCCUUGGGUGGUUAAGCCUCUUAAAGGAGGUCCUGGUUCUCUUUUUGCUUCUUACCAAAGCAAAUGGAGAGCAACGGGUUGAACUCAGACUGAGAAACUAAAAGAAGCUUUGGGAUCAGUGGACAGGUUUCGUAAGUACAUAUAUUCAGUUCCAUAUUCUGAUCAGUCCUGCUUUGCAGGGAUAGAGGAAUUUUUAAACCGUGCCCAGCCAUCGAAUAUCAGAGGCAUCGUGUCUUCAUCGUCCUGUUAUGUUGACCCUCUUUACUACUUUGGCCACCUUUGCAGAGCAAAUCAACCAUCACUGAGGUAUAAGCAGCAACAGAGAGUGCAGCACAAAACAGUUGUAGCCGCCCAAAUGAAAUUCAUUGUUGAAAGUGGUAGAUCCACUAAGGUAGAUAGGAAACGAAGGACUGCGGAAGUAGGUAUUUUAGGAGUUCGCAUGAGUAAGGUGGAUGCCCUUAGGCGGGCCCGACGAGGUGCGAAGCUUGCUCGAAGUGAGAGUUCUGAUUAAUUAGUGUCAAAUAUCAAUAUCAGGUAAGCUUGAAAUUCUUGCGAGUAAUGUUGCCUGUAUCAGUUUGAAUUCAGAGUCUAUUGUAUGGUUGAAGAAUACAUAUGGUGGUGUAGGGUGUAAGAAAAAUAAUCUUUUAUUUAUUUAUUUAUUUAUCUUGGAUGUCUAAAGCGACGGCCUAUUAGUGCUCAUUAAAGAAAAUGGUUGUGCGAAAGCACUUCGUCUGGAUCAAUCAUUUGAUUGUUUACGCGGGAUAGUUAUAGCGACUUUUCAAACUCGUGGCCUUUAAACACAUUAUAGUUUGCAAUCGUGGUCUUUACUCUUUACUUGAUUUGCAAUGAGGUAAAGAAGUCAAAUGACGGACCAAGAUAUUAGUUGAAGAAGCCAUACUACGGAUACGUCGCACGAGGUAUAUGUAAUCCCACGACACCUGGCAAGCGGACCGAAUCCAUGCGACUAUAGUAGCAGAGUCCGAUUCUACCUGCAAUAUAGAAUGGCCGAGGUGAGCUGCAAGCUCUAAGCUCUCAUGAACAGCCAUAAGCUCUAUGUAAAGGAUCGGACGAUAACCUAGGAAUGAUCCAAAAGUGCCUAAGAGCUCUCCCCAAGAGUCACGUAAAAUGCCCCCUGAAGCAGCCAUCCCUGGGUUUCCCCUAGAGCACCCAUCCACUGUCAACUUCACCACCCCCGGAGGUGGUCGAAUCCGAGAAAUCAGCCGAAGUGGUCUCCUAUGCCGUGUAACAACACGCCAUCCGUCCACUAAUCUACUAUCCAGGACGCCGCGCAGUUGGGAUGUUUUAAAACCGAAAGCAAAGCUGGCCAGCUUAAGAUCUGAAACUACUCGAAAAAUGACCGCAUCUACAAAAAAUGCCAUUGAAUCAAAUCUGUAAGCAUUUCGGGCCUUCCACACGUGCCAGAGGAUGAAACAAGGAAGUAGAACUCAAAUAUGGUUUCGGGAAGGAGCACAGCGCCUCCAGUGGCGAAGCAGCGCAUGAGGGGAGCGUUAUCUUUACUUGAUUUGCAAUAAGGUAAAGAAGUCAAUUGGGUAAUUUUUUUCUGUGAGAGUGAAUUGCGGCAAACGUGAGCAAAUUUUGCAUCAUUGUGCAUUUUGUUGUAGAAUGAGGAGAGUCAAUUUUCCUGACUAUCUAGACGAGUCUUUAGUUGAAUCUCUCCAUGGCCAUAAGUGGCCGGCAUAGACCAAAUCCUGAAACUGGUCAUAGUCCAAUAUGCAGACCACUCUGACUAUGGUCAAGACACUGGAAAAUGGUGAACGUUAGCUAAGUUUUGAAAGUUACCAAAAUUUAAUAAUAUCAUGUUUCUGAUUUCUAAUCAUGUUUUUUAUUUUGAAGAUUUCAGUUUUGACAAUUUGACUAAAUAAAUAUGCGGGUUAAAAUUUUCAUGAUCUAAAAAAAUGUAACGAGAACUAAUAAAAUUUAUUAUUUUAUUACGGUUUAUAUCAUUUGAAAUGUUGAUUCAAUAUAAAUGAUAUGUCCGGCCUUGUGGUGGCUGGUGGGUGCAAUUUGAGAUGGUAAAAUUUUUUUAUUUUGAAGACAAGAUGUGAAUCCCAUUUAAUAUUAUUAUUAAAUUAAGCAGUAUAAAGAAGUUAAGCAACCCAAAACCAUAAAGAAGUCAAACAGGCUAGAAGCCGUAAAGAAGUCUAGAAGCCAUAAAGAAACCGAAUAUCAUAAACUAAAGAAAAGAUAAAAUAUAGAGUAAUAACAGCAGCAAAAAAACAGAGAACAGUAGCGCCACAACAGAUCUAAUACUUGUCCGUUUGUAAUCAUAUGUUUGCUGUUGUUCUUUGUUUAUUGCAGCUGCUAUUACUCUCAUUUUAGCUUUUCCUUAGCUUAUGAUCUUCGGUUUCUAUAUGGCUUCUUGGCUGCUUAACUUCUUUACGGCUUCCAGGCCGCUUGACCUCUUAACGUCUCCUAAGUGUUUGACUUCUUUAUGGUUUACCCCAAAAUGACCGAAGUGUUCCACAUUUAUGUAUUUUAAAGAGGUGCAACCUCAAGAUUGUAAUUUGUAAAGGGCAUAAUUGUCAGUUCAAUUAGCUUAGUUGACUUGGGGAAGGACUAUAACAUCGUUCUUCUUCUCUAUGUCGGUCUGUCUAGCUGUUGUCUUUCUCUUAUGAGCAAUAAAACAAUACAUGAUAUGUAAAUUAUUUUUCACUCAAGUAUCUAUCUUGAUAGCACAGAAUUUGUUGUUGUUGCAGCAGCCAUGGCAAUCAUCAAGAACAAUUCAUGGUUGAUGCUUUUUGUUCUUUUUACGUGCUUUUCACUCAAAUCCCAUGUCUCCUUCGGAGCUGACACCGUUUCUGCAAACCAAUCUCUCUCUGGCGAUCAAACGAUCGUUCAAGGCGGAUGUACGGUACAGCAGUUCCUUCACGAGAAGUUGCAGCUCAGCAGGUUCUCUUCGGUUUUAAGAAUCUCAGAUGGUAACUUAGUUCUUUUUAAUGAGUCCCAACUACCCAUUUGGUCCACAAAUUUGACCGCUACCAGCAGACGUUCUGUGGAAGCAGUUCUUUUAGAUGAAGGAAAUCUUGUUUUGAGAGAUUUGUCAAAUAAUUUGUCAAAGCCUUUAUGGCAAAGUUUUGAUCAUCCAGCUCAUACUUGGAUUCCCGGUAUGAAGCUGACGUUCAACAAGAGAAACAACGUCAGUCAACUUAUCACUUCAUGGAAGAAUAAAGAAAAUCCUGCACCGGGUCUCUUCUCCCUUGAGCGAGCACCAGAUGGAUCAAAUCAAUAUGUUAUGUUGUGGAAUAGGUCUGAGCAGUACUGGUCAAGUGGACCUUGGGAUGAGAAUGCAAAAAUUUUCAGCAUGGUCCCUGAAAUGAAUCAAAACUAUAUCUACAAUUUCAGCUAUGUGUCGAAUGAAAACGAGAGCUAUUUCACCAACAAUGUGAAAGAUAGCACUUACACAUCUCGAUUCAUUAUGGAUGUUUCAGGACAGGUUAAGCAGAUGAAUUGGUUGCCUACCAACUCUUGGUUUCUGUUUUGGUCCCAACCAAGACAGCAAUGCGAGGUUUAUGCUCUUUGUGGUCAAUUUAGCACCUGCAAUCAGCAAACUGAGCGUUUUUGUUCUUGUUUGAAAGGUUUUCAACAAAAAUCGGUGAGUGACUGGAAUUUGGAAGAUUAUUCUGGUGGUUGUGUGAGGAAAACCCCGCUGCAGUGUGAAAAUAUUAGUCCUGCCAAUAGAAAAAGCGACCAAUUUUUCCAGUACAGUAACAUGAAAUUGCCUAAACAUCCACAAUCUGUGGCAGUAGGGGGUAUCAGGGAAUGUGAAACACACUGCUUGAAUAACUGCUCUUGCACUGCUUAUGCUUACAAAGACAACGCUUGCUCGAUUUGGGUAGGAAGUUUCGUGGGUCUGCAACAGCUACAAGGAGGUGGAGAUAUCAUUUAUAUCAAGCUUGCAGCUUCUGAGUUCGAGAGUCCCAAGAACAAGAAGGGAGUAGUCAUUGGCGGUGUUGUGGGCUCAGUGGCUGUCGUAGCUCUUAUUGGCCUGAUCAUGCUUGUAUACUUGGGAAGGAGAAAGACAGCAACUGUAACAACCAAAACUGUGGAGGGUUCUUUGGUGGCAUUUGCAUGCAAGGAUUUGCAAACUGCCACAAAGAAUUUCUCUAAAAAGCUGGGGGGAGGAGGUUUUGGUUCAGUUUUCAAAGGGGUGUUUCCGAAUUCAAGUCUCAUAGCUGUGAAGAAGCUUGAAAGCUUGAGCCAAGGAGAGAAGCAAUUUCGGACUGAAGUCAGAACCAUAGGGAAUAUCCAACAUGUCAAUCUGGUUCGGCUUCUGGGUUUCUGCUCUGAAGGUACUAGUAGGUUGUUGGUCUACGAUUUCAUGCCAAACGGUUCUUUAGACUCUCAUCUCUUCACUGAAAAAGAUUCAGACUUUCUUGAUUGGAAGACAAGAUACCAAAUUGCACUGGGGACAGCCAGAGGUUUGGCUUAUCUCCAUGAGAAGUGCAGAGACUGCAUCAUACACUGUGACAUAAAGCCAGAGAACAUUCUGUUAGACGCUGAAUUUUGUCCCAAAGUGUCGGAUUUUGGGCUGGCAAAGCUUGUUGGGAGGGAGUUCAGCCGUGUCCUAACAACCAUGAGAGGAACAAGAGGUUACCUUGCACCUGAAUGGAUUUCAGGAGUGGCCAUAACAGCCAAAGCGGAUGUCUACAGCUAUGGAAUGAUGCUGUAUGAAUUUGUAUCAGGAAGGAGGAACUCCCAGGAAUCUGAAGAUGGUAAAGUGAAGUUCUUCCCAUCUUGGGCUGCUAAACAAAUAGUUGAAGGCAGCAAUCUCAUUAGCCUAUUAGACCCAAGACUGGAGGGCAACGCUGACGAAGUAGAGCUUGCAAGACUUUGCAAAGUGGCUUGUUGGUGCAUCCAAGAUGAUGAGACUCACAGGCCAUCAAUGGGUCAAGUAGUUCAAAUUCUUGAGGGAGUUUUGGACGUGACACUGCCUCCAAUUCCCAGAGCUCUCCAAGUAAUGGUCGAUGACCAUGAGCACGUAGUCUUCUUCACUGAAUCAUCCACAUCUCAGAGUUCCCUGUCAAAGAGCAACAAUUCAACUGCUUCAUCUCAAGCAAAGAGUACCACAUCAUCAAGAAGUUCUUAAAUCGAUGUGAAGAAAAUAUUUUAACAUUUGUGUUUAAGAAUAUAUAUUUGGUUUAUUUCACUUGUAACAACCUGUAUGCAUAUUUGGAUAGAAGCCUUGCUUCGUAGUGUGUAUAAUAAUAAUGGAACCUGCCAAAGCAAUUUUAAGAAUUACAAGCCUUGUGCCUCGCUGUUCUCUCUAAUGAACUCUGAUUGAUCUAUGCUCCUCUGCAUUGACUAUUGGCUUCACCUAAUCGCUUCAAUUGGCAAAAUUAGGUAUUGAAAUAAAAGUGACUUGGAACUUGGAUGUUAUCCCGAAGAAGGGGAAAAACAGAAAAACAAUCAAACAAAUAAACAUAAACGUGACGUUGUAACAAAUAAUGUUUGGUAGUAUAUGAUAUGCAUACAUAAAUCGAAAACCAUAAAAUGUAAAAUAACUAGGUUAAGUGUGGUUAACUAAUCGAGACUUAAGUCUUAAUUUCUCUUAUAAAAACUUAAGUGUUGUAUCUAAGUCCGUCGUCAAUUUAAUACUUUUAAUAUAAGUUAUUAUUUAGAAAAGAAGGUGUGUUCAAUGAAUGACUUAUUUAUGAGUGCUAAUUAGAUUAAAAUUUAGAAUUUAGGAUAAAUUUACAGAAUCAUAAAUUAAUUUAUAAUAUUAUGAAAAUUAAUUUAUGACAUCAUAAAUUUGUCCCAAAUUUUGAAUUCAAACUUUAAUUUCAGAUUGAAAAAUUUUUCUCUAUCCAUAAAGUGUUUGGUUAAGGGGAAAAAAAUCAAAAGAAAAAAAAUCUAGGUGGGUGGUAUGACGUGGGGUUUACGUUUAAUGCGUAAAACAUGAUUUUAAUGUUUAUUUCUCACGAGGCAACAUUGAGAAUAUCGGAGUUGAGUUUAACACAAUUAAUCCUUAGCAAAUAUAUUAAAGCGAUUACACUUCCUGUCUCUCGUCUCAUGCAUGUUACUGCUGAUUGCCUUUGAUAUUUUAAACCAAUUUUGAUUCACCAAAUAAUCAAUCGAUUAAUUUAUUUGCUCUAAAUUCUCAUAACUUAUCCACUACAGAUUUCCAAUGCGGACUCAAGUAUGAAGUUUUUCUAGCCUCAUAUUUGCAUUCGUAAUUAUCACGUCACAUGUACAAGAGAAUGAUUUGAUAUACAAUUGAACAGAUAUUAAUGAAUCUAGAGUAGUUUCAAAUUAGUCAUCGACAUAAUUGAUGCUAAAAUAAUUUCUAAGAGACAAAUUUUAAUCUCAAAUCCCCCAAAAAAAAGAGUAGAUAAUUAAAAAAAAAAAAGCACAAACAAUUGCAAAAAGCUAUUUUUUAUAGUUUCACUUCAGUUCACAGCCUCCUCAUAUCGAGAAACAGCUUCUGAUCAAGCUCAAACUCUUGAAACAUAUUAUUUGUUACAUAUUUUUCAUGAACCAACUGGCCAACAUUGUUGAACUGUCGAUAUUUUUAUUGACUUCAAUUGACUAACAAGUUUCCUUCUUUUCUUGAAGGAUGGCUUUGACGGCGUUUCUUGAAGGAUGACUUGGACCUCUCGUUGAUUCGCGUCCUCGAUAUUGGUUCGUGACAUUCGAUCUCCCUGAUCUCGCCGCCUUCCGGAGAGAAGACGUUUGUCAAAGUUAUCGCAAUCGACGCUUGCCAUUGUCCUGGUAAGUCAUGGUUAAGCUAACAGUAACAAUAACGGCAUUGAUAACUGUUAGAACACUAAUAGUUUAUUUUAUUACUUGUUUUAAUUCAUUUCUUCUUAGCAUUAGGUUUUUUUUUUCAAUUAUAAAUUAAUGUUUUUAUUAAAUUAUAGUUAGGACUGUCUUAAACGAUUAUAAAUAAAUAGUUUUUAUUAUAUUUUUGAGGAAAUAAUAAUAAAAUUAAUUCUAAUUUCUGUUAAUUCUUUUCUCUUCCCUCUGAAUUCUUAAAUUCAUUAUUUAUUUCUCUUUUAACUCUCUAAUCAAAACCUUAGAAUCCUACCAUCUGGUAUUAGAGCACAUCCUUCCUGCCACAAUUUUUAUUUUUCCAUUCACUAUUUUUUUUUAAAAGUCAUCAACCAAACUUUUGCCAAUAUCUCUUGGCUUUUGACUGGAGACUUAAACCGGACCCACCCUCUAAACUUUUUCCAAUAUCUAAACUUUUUCAACCGAACUUGAAUUUUCUUGAGAGUUUUUUUGAGGCAUCAUGAUUGGUAAGGAGCUUGAAGGCAAAGUUCAACAGUUUCAUGACAAAGUUACAACCAUCGAUGAAAAGGUUACGACCUUAGCCAAGCAAAAUAACGAUCUGCAGGAACUCAUGAACGACAUCCUUCAGCAAUUGAGCCAGUUGCGAAAAGGAAAACAACCGACUACUGAUCAAAGACAAGUUGAUAUAUUUACUGGAGGGACCUCUGCUCCUCAAAUGGUAAUUGCUAUCCAACCACCUCUUGAACCUGCCGAACGCAUUGGAAGUACUCUCAUGCAAGCUCGUAACAUAUGACUUGACUUUCCUAUUUUUCACGGUGACAAUCGAACGGGAUGGAUUUUUCGAUAUGAGCAAUAUCGUUGCCUUACUGGAUUAUCAAAUGUUGACUUAUUGUGCUUAGCUAUUGGCCAUCUUGAUGGUGAUACUGUACCUUGGUUUCAUUGGAUAGAGCAAACUAUGGGCGAAAUGACUUGGGCGCAAUUUAAAUGGGCUUUCACUACUCAAUUUGGGACAUUAGAAGAGAAUGAUGCAGUUGGCAGUCUUACCAAAUUACAUCAAAUAGGGACAGUUCUUGACUAUCAACGACAAUUUCAAAAGUUGACCGAUCAGACUAGCAAUUUAACUGAGUCUUUCUUCAUCAGUUGUUUCCUUUAUGGGUUACAUGAAGAUAUCAAGGCUGGCGUACAACUGUUCAAACCUGUUAGUCUCGUACAAACUUUUGAACUUGCUAGGUUUAGUAAAAGACAAUUACUUUGCAAGGCAACUGUUCCCCCGUUCCCGCCAUCCAAGAUCUAGUCCCACAAUUACAGUUGACUCCUACUCCACCAGCAGCAGACAGAAAGACGUUCUAAAGGGCUUUGUUUCAACUGUGACGAGCAAUUUAAGCCUGGGCAUUGUUGCAAACAAUCUCAACUAAUGCUUUUAGACGUUGAUAUAACUCUUCACAACCCUCCAAAACCGCCUGACCAUCAUUCAGAUUGGAAGAUCUCGAUUAUUGAGACUAGGUAAAAGGCUUGCAGACAAGCCUGUUUUAAUGGGCAGGGAAUGUUAGGACCCUAAUAAUUUAUUUUAUUGCUUGUUUUAAUUUUUUUCCUAUUAAUAUUAGGUUUUCUUAUUUCAAUUAUGAAUUAAUGCUCUUAUUAAAUUAUAAUUAGGACCGUCUUGAACUACUAUAAAUAAGUGGUUCUUAUUAUAGUUUUGAGGGAGCAACAAUAAAAUUAAUUCUAAUCUCAUUUAAUUCUUCUCUCUUCCCUCCGAAUUCUUAAAUUCUUCAUCUAUUUCUCCCCUAAUUCUCUGACCAAAACCUCAUAAUCCUACUAGUAACGGACUGCAUUACGUUCGAGAAGACAAUUUACACACACACAAGAUAAUAAAGGCAUUUAAAUCACCCAAUUAAGUUGUAUAGCGAUAAAUAAUUAAAUUACAAAAAGCUCGACAUAUACUGAAAAAUAAAAAAGAAAUUCAACAAAGUCAUAAAUUUAUUGACAUCUGAAUUCUGAAAAUAUGGUGUGUGUCUUCAGUUGGGAAAGUUAUAAUUUGCAUACGGUUAUUUUUAUUGAUAUUUAAUACCUCUAUUUUAUGUUCAAUUGGAAGGAAUUCUAGGCAGUUCAAUUUUCUACUUACGGUAUUAUCACGAUCGUUGUUAUUGAGAAAAUUUUGGCAAUUUUUUUGAUUGAUCAUGAUGAUUUUAGUACGUGGCAGGCUCGGUGAUGUUGUUAUUUCGCGGAGCAUUUGGAUGCUUGCUCUAUACUGGUGAUUUUCGCUGGGAAGCAAGUAAUAAGAGGGCUGAGAUAGGAAGGAACACGCUCGUCAAAGCUUUAAAAGAUGAUGUAGUCGACAUUCUUUAUUUGGAUAACACAUAUUGCAGUCCAUCAUAUGCUUUUGCUUCAGGAGAAGUUGCAGCUCAGCAGGUACACUUUUUAUAUUUUUCCUUUCUUGUUUGAGAACUUUCAGUUUCACUCCAGAAUUAUCUACUGAAUUAAAGAUUAAAAUGGGAGAUGAAAGAAAUAGUCCAGGUACUGAUUUGUAGUGUUAGUUAUCUGGAUGAAAACAGAUUGUUGACAUAAUUGCCUCCCAUCCAGAUCAUGACAUCAUCAUUGGGAUUGACUCACUUGGAAAAGAAAAACUUUUAUUUCACAUAUCGCAUAAGCUCAAUAUAAAGGUUUGCUCACCCUUUUAAUAUCGGAAAACCUUUUCUUACAUAACGAUCAUCACGAUGGUCUCUCCAAGGGGGAUGAAAUCGAUAGCAUAUAUACAGCAAAUUGACAUGUUAUCUAAUUUUUGGAUCACUUGUAGAUGAUUUAGGAGUAUCUUGAUAGUUUUUAUUCUUCUAACAUCUAACAUAUGUUUUACAUUUUAGAAACUGGGCGGGUUAGAUUGUCCUUUGGUGGAUUUAAUUGUGGCCAAAUUCAUACAUGAAAUGUAUUGUCACACAUGUAUUAUUGGAUGCAUCCAAUUGUAUGUUCUUCCUCUUCAUGUGCCAUGAGAACUUAAAACUGCCCUCUUCAUCUCUUGCAAAUUGUUGUUUAGUCACAAGCAAGUGGAAUAAAAAUUUUUGCAUUUAUUUCCAAAGCAGAUAUUUACUCUGUAUUUCUUGUUUCACAUUUUUUUUAUAGAUUUGGGUGUGGCCAGAACGCCUGCAAACCAUGCAUCUGCUUGGCUUCCAUGACAUAUUCACAACCAAAACUUCUCUUACUAGAGUGCGAGUUGUUCCACGGUAUAGUUUUAGCAUUGAUACUUUAGAGAGUUUAAAUACAAUGCACCCAACGAUUGGAAUUAUGCCAUCUGGUCUUCCUUGGGUGGUUAAGUCUCUUAAAGGAGGUAGUAGUCUUCCUGGUUUUCUUUUUCCUUCUUACCAAAGCAAAUGGAGAGCAACGGGUGGAACUCACACUGAGAAACUGAAAGAAGCUUUAGGCGGGCCCGACGAGGUGCGAAGCUUGCUCGAAGUGAGAGUUCUGAUUGAUUAGGGUCAAAUAUCGAUAUCAGUUAAGCUUGAAAUUCUUGCAAGUAAUGUUACUUGUAUCGGUUUGAAUUCAGAGUCUAUUGUAUGGUUGAAGAAUACAUAUGAUGGUGUAGGGUGUAAGUAAUAUAAUCCUUUUAUUUAUUUAUUUAUCUUGGAUGUCUAAAGCGACGGCCUAUUAGUGCUCAUUAAGGAAAAUGGUUGUGUGAAAGCACUUCGUCUGGAUCAGUCAUUUGACUGUUUACGCCUGGAUCAGUCAUUUGAUUGUUUACGCGGGAUAGGUAUAGUGGCUUUUUGGUUUAGAUUAUUAUAGUUGUUUUCAAACUCGUGGCCUUUAAACACAUUAUAGUUUGACAAUCAUGGUCUUUACUUGAUUUGCAAUAAGGUAAAGAAGUCAAAUGGGUAAUUAUUUUCUGUGAGAGUGAAUUGCGGCAAACAUGAGCAAUUUUUGCAUCAUUGUGCAUUUUGUUGUAGAAUGAGGAGAGUCAACUUUCCUGACCAUCUAGAUGAACCCUUAGUUGAAUCUCUCCAUGGCCAUAAGUGGGCGGCAUAGACCAAAUCCUGAAACUAGUCAUGGUCUAAUAUGCAAACCACUCUGACUAUGGCCAAGACACUGGAAAAUGGUGAAUGUUAACUUAGUUUUGAAAGUUAUCAAAUUUAAUAAAACAAAUCAAAUUUAUAAAGUUUUAAAAGUUAUCAAAAUUUAAUAAAACAAAUCAAAUUUAUAAAGUUUUAAAAGUUAUCAAAAUUUAAUAAAACAAAUCAAAUUUAUAAAGUUUUAAAAGUUAUCAAAAUUUAAUAAAACAAAUCAAAUUUAUAAAGUUUUAAAAGUUAUCAAAAUUUAAUAAAACAAAUCAAAUUUAUAAAGUUUUAAAAGUUAUCAAAAUUUAAUAAAACAAAUCAAAUUUAUAAAGUUUUGAAAGUUAUCAAAAUUUAAUAAAAAAAAUCAAAUUUAUAAUUAGGGGUCCAGCUACGGUGCCCCUUUGGGCACGGUGUCCCCUUCUUUUGUCAUUAUCCAGGCUAGCCGUUAGAUUAUAAUGACUUUAAUCCAACGUUUCGGAUUUUGAAACUGUACAAUGAUGUGAAGUGGGCAACUGUCCAAUCCCGAUAUACUAAUACUAUUGUAGCUCUAAAUAAGAAGUAAUAAGAUUAUUAACACUAUAAGGUUAAUGGAAGGAAAAUCUAUCUAAGCCUGAAAUGAUACAAACUACAUAUGUUCGAAUUUAUGGUAGCUGAAAAAUCUUUCAUGAUUUGUUCUACUCCUUGAUCACAUAAGUGGGUUGAAUUAAUUUAUAUAUUUGAAAUUAGGUGGUUGAAUAACGAUGGCAUGACCAUAUGGAUUCAAUUUCUUGAUGGACCAAUAACCUUGUUUCGACUGAAAUCAAUACGUGCAAGUAGUCAAUUUGACAGUUGACAUAAACUGUGCUUUUGAAUUGCAAUGGAACAUAAAUGAACAAGCUUUCAUCUAGCUUUACAGAGUGUGAACUAAAUGGUGUAGCAAAUAUAAAUGAAAGAAGAAGGAGCCCGAGGGGUGGAGGCGUUAAGAACUUAAAUAGCAGGUUUUAUUCUGUCGAAAUACUACAAGCACAUUUGUAAUAUUCAAAAGAUGCUGCAACUGUAGUUCUUAGUAUUUCGAGUCAGAAAACUAAGCUUCAAUAUCAUGACAUAACAAAAUAUACAAUAAAAAUUGCACGGACAUAAUAAUUGUCAUAUUUCCAUAACAACGUUACCAAGUCCGUAAAAGCUAGGAAUAACAAAACACAUAAAAAUAGUUUCAUAUUAGAGAAUAUCUGAAUUUACAGAGCAUAGAUUAUGUCUAAAUUUCCUGGUUGGUUGAGUUUCUUCGAUGAUCUUGUUCGAAAGCUAAUACCAUUCGUUUCUAAAAUGUACCUCACAGUAUCAAUCAUCUCAAUUAAACUGCCACAAAGUUUCCUCUUUAGCCUACCACAGUUGUAGCAAACUACCAAAACCCAUUUGACAAGCAGCCACUCUUUGUUCAUCUAUCAGCUACGAAACUGCUGCCGCUAAUCUAUCUGGGGCGAAUCUAGUCAAGAACUUUGCCUUUGCCACUUCUGACUUCACUAUUUGUUCGCAUUCAAUUUGUAUUAACAUUUUCUCUCCGGUGGUAAAUCCUUAAACGUGGAUCCAAUUUCCAUCUAGUACACAAUCAUGGCAGAUAAACUAACUACAUCUCCACUAAUUGAAAAUACAAAUUUAUUUUAUCUUUAUAGUGCAACUUUACAUACCUCUUCUGUAAUGCAAGUCAUUCCAUCGCUUGCCUUAACCUCAUGCACGGCUUCACUGCUGCAAUAUCAUCAUAUGACUGCAAAAUUAUACAUCUCUAUAAUUUUUAAUGAACUAAGCUUACAAAUAUCUUAUGAACCCAUUAUGGCAUUUCCUUUUUCUUCUUCCUUCAAUACUUUGAUCGUCACCAACCUCUUUAACACCGCCAUCAAUCUCACACGAUUUAUGCUUAUUACUUCCCACCAACUUAAUUUAUGAAAUUCAGUGAUACAUUUAUUUAUUAUAAUCAAACUAAAGUUCAUAGCAACAUAAAGUUUACAUUCCUAGUCCAGCACAAAACAAACAAAAAAAUUGGGGAAAAAAAUAAACAAAGGAGAUCUGGAACGAAGGUAAAGCAUGUAUCAUUUUCCUGUUCCUAAUUUUAAAAAUGUUCAUUGUAAAACUUAAUAACACCCAAGCUAACUGGAACUAAUUGUUACGGAUUCAAAUAUCAUUUUAAUACAUGGAAUUACUAAGAUGAAUAUUAUGACAAAAAAAUCCUUUACAUUAUUACAUUGUUGAGAAAAUAUCCAUAACUUUAUUUUAAAAUAUUUGUGCACCCCAAUUUUGCCAUUAUCCUUAUGAGAUCUAGCUUCCCACCAACCAUAUUAUGAACAACAAAUGAUUCACAUCACAAAUCUCAUAUUAAAAUUACACUUACCUUAAAUUUGGUAUAUGCAAUCCUUUCUGUUUCAUUCAAUACUGCUAUAACAAACUACAAGUCACUGCACUCCACUUCAAAAAUUUGACACGACAUCAUUGCUCCAAUUACAGUUAUACAGAAUUAAGAAAAUAUUCCUGCUUUAAAAAUUUCGCCAAUGUCUGUUGAAAUACAACCAAGGGUAUGUAGAGGGUCCAGCUACAAUAUCCAUGGGGUUUGGUACCCCAUUUUUUGUUUUUUUCAAACCUACCGUUAGAUUUAACGUAAGUGCAUAAUGGCUGAGAUGUGAUUAUUGAGUUAUUAACAUCAAAGACCCUUAUUGUUCAUGUAAAAUAAAAAAAAAUCAAAAGUUUUGAAAUUAUGACAUAUAAGUCAAUAAUAUUCUCUUUUUUUUUUAACUCUAUUGAAAUAUGUUUCCAAUUAAAUGACUUAUUCUUAUAUUUAUUAGUAUCUAUUUAAAUUAAUAAAUUUAUUAAUUAAUAAAUUAACUACUUUAUUAUAUAAUUAAACUAUGUAUAUUAUUUAUUAAGGGUUAUUUUUAGAGACCUCCCCUGAGGUUUGGUGUAUUGACAGUCUGAUAGAAAGUAUUCACGUAAUUACAGGGACCUCCCCUGACGGUACUACAUGGUUAACUUGACUGUUAGUGGACUAACGAAAAGCCAAAAAUGCCCUGAGCCUAAAAAAUGCUUUGGCAGUUAACAAUUUCUUUAAUGAUAGUAACUACAGUUUGGCGUUAAACAUCACACUAAAACACUAAAAAGUCUAAACUGACCAUUUAAAACAAAUCAUUGACAUUACAUAAUAUUAAAAAAAGGAGAAAAAUAUAAAUUGACAAAAUCAACAAAGCUAUCAAUGUAGUGAAUAUUUACAGCAACAAUGGUUGUAAAUACAGCCAUUGUCAAGUUAAAAUCACCAUUACAACCAUUGCUUCUUUAACUUUCAUCUCACAAUUUCUUCCUUCAUCAUUCAACAUCUCAAAAGCUCAAUAAUUAGUAAGCUGCUUCAAUAAAACAAUAAACAAACCAUAAUUCACUUUUCAAUGCAUUCAAAAUACACAACGAAUAUUCCUUAGCCAUUUAAAUUGAAGCCAAAGAAGAAAAGAAAAGAAAAAAAAUCUUCCUUUGUUAUUCCAAGUUUCACACCACUAGCCAUAUGAAGAAGGCAGACUAAAGCGUAAGAAAAUGCUACUGCCACAGCAAAAGUCUAGACCAAUUGGGUAAUGAUACCUGCCAUGCCAAUUUCAAGGCAAGCAAAAAUCAAUUAUCAUCCCCAGACCAAAAUACCAGCAAACCUACCUUUUGAAUUUAAAUAAUAAGUAAAUAAAUCAAAGAUUUCAACUCAUUUAAGUUUGAAAUCAAUUAAAAUAGCCAAAAAGAAAAAAAAAAUUCGUCCAACAUAACUUAUCCAGCAAUUUCUUCAACACAUAAUUUCAUUCUUAAUCAUCACAACAAUUAAAAAAGAAAAACAAUGAGCCCAAGUGAUUGAUCUUGCCAUAAUGUACUCCUACCAGCAACCGAAGUCGAGCAUACAUACGACGAUCUUCGUGCGUGAAUAGCCGGGAGGAAAGAAAGGGCGGUAGAUGAUAAUGAAAAAGAUGCGAUCGAGUUUGCUGUAGAAAUUUCUACUCUCCGAUUAGACCCAAAGCUUGUUCAAAAGGGUCUCCUUUUCCUCCGUUGAGAUCAAAUCCCUACCGACGAGCUGCCAACAACUAACAAGGGUCACUACGAAUAGCUAACAACUGCUUUGCUACUACUGGCUCACUCUGAACGAGAUUCCGAUCCCCUGUCUCGUGAGCAAAGCCUUCGAUUCCUUCACGUAGGCCGAGACGGAUUGGUUCAAAAGCUUCUCCAGAGCUUUUCAACCUUGAAAAUGGUUGUGGGUUUCGUUUAAUGAGAGAGAAAAUAGUGUUUUGGUUCUUUGAUUUUUUUUUUAAUUUAUGAAAUCACUAAUUUACCCUCAUAUACUAACAUAUACGAAAACGUGUACUAACGUUAGGGGAAGUCUCUGUAAUUACACAAAUACUUUCUAUCAGAUUGUCAAUACACUAAAACUCAAGGGAGAUCCUUAAAAAUAACUCUAUUUACUAACUAUAAUUAAUAAUAACAAUAAAUAUAAAUAUGAUCUUUUUUUAAUUUAAUAUAACGACAACUAAUUUCUUUUGACGUAUGUGAAUAAAGUUCAAAACCCAUAAUUUUUUUUUCCGCCAGACGGUGACCCUUGUGGGUCUAUCAACAAUUCAAAGAUUGCACAACUUGAUUGUCCGUUUCCAAUCACUCAUUUCUUUCUCUCUGGCCAACCAAACGCGUAAAACUGAUUAACGUUGUUGAUGGAGUUUUAAAUAUGAUCAAAUGGCUGUGAUUGUUUGUAGGCUUGGUCCUAUAAAGCUCAAUCGACCUACAAGCCAAUAAAAAAAAUUAAUUGAAAUUGCUAGCACUAGCCGCAACUGGGCCCCAUUCACAUUACGAGGUUCACCUCCUCUAGAACUUGUACAGGUGGACAUGGUUACAAACUAUUGCUUUUGUAGAAACAAUCCAAGUUGAUGUCUAGGGUGGAUAUUAAAAUCUUGCUGACGUGGCUGAAUCUGUUAUAUUGGUUUAAGAAUUACUACAUGCAUGUGUAACAGCUUAUUAACAAGGAAUUGACACUUGUUAUAUAUGUGUGUAAAAUACAUUGAUUCAAUAAUAAGAAGUUUUCAGUUUAUCAAUAUUUUCUUUCUCUUCCGUUUAACUUUCUCGUUUACCAAAUACAACAUUUGGUUUUCUUUCACAAAGUGUCGGAUUUUGGGCUGGCAAAGCUUGUUGGGAGGGAGUUCAGCCGUGUCCUAACAACCAUGAGAGGAACAAGAGGUUACCUUGCACCUGAAUGGAUAUCAGGAGUGGCCAUAACAGCCAAAGCGGAUGUCUACAGCUGCGGAAUGAUGCUGUUUGAAUUUGUAUCGGGAAGGAGGAACUCUGAGGAAUUUGAAGAUGGUAAAGUGAGGUUCUUCCCAUCUUGGGCUGCUAAACAAAUAGUUGAAGGCAGCAAUCUCAUUAGCCUAUUAGACCCAAGACUGGAGGGCAACGCAUAGGAAGAAGAGCUUGCAAGACUUUGCAAAGUGGCUUGUUGGUGCAUCCAAGAUGAUGAAACUCACAGGCCAUCAAUGGGUCAAGUAGGUCAAAUUCUUGAGGGAGUUUUGGACGUGACACUGCCUCCAAUUCCCAGAGCUCUCCAAGUAAUGGUCGAAUCAAAGAGCAACAAUUCAACUGCUUCAUCUCAAGCAAAGAGCACCACAUUAUCAAGAAGUUCUUAAAUCGAUGUGAAGAAAAUAUUUUAACAUUUGUGUUUAAGAAUAUAUAUUUGGUUUAUUUCACUUGUAACAACCUGUAUGCAUAUUUGGAUAGAAGCCUUGCUUCGUAGUGUGUAUAAUAAUAAUGGAACCUGCCAAAGCAAUUUUAAGAAUUACAAGCCUUGUGCCUCGCUGUUCUCUCUAAUGAACUCUGAUUGAUCUAUGCUCCUCUGCGUUGACUUUUGGCUUCACCUAAUCGCUUCAAUUGUCAAAAUUAGGUAUUGAAAUGAAAGCGAAAUGCCAAAAGCAACUUGGAACUUGGAUGUUAUCCAGAAGAAGGGGAAAAACAGCAGAAACAAUCAAACAUAAACGUGACGUUGUAAUAAAUAACAUCGGUCAAGAUAUGAAUCAACUGGCCAACAUUGUUGAAUUGUCCAUAUUUUGAUUGACUUCAAUUGACUAACAAGUUUCCUACUUUUUUUGAAGGAUGGCUUUGACGGCGAUUCUUGAAGGAUGGCUUUGACGGCUUACGUAGCACAAAUAAUUUAUGUUGGACGUUUAAAUAAUCCAUCAGAAAAAAAUUAUGGAAACCGAACUUCGUCCCUUUGCUUUCUUUAUUCCUAAAUAACAAUUUAGCACUCCUGAACUUCAUUGAACUUCAUCCUCCAUUUUUUUUGCUUUCUUUAUUCCUAAAUAACAAUUUAGCACUCCUGAACUUCAUCCUCCAUUUUUUUUAAUUUCUACUUGUCAUAAACUGAAACCUAAUAAAAUAAUUUUGGUUGAAACCAUCAUAUUUGACAGUAUGAGCACAACGACAGUGAUUACUAACUGUUUCUGCUUAGGCCCGCCAUACCCAACCCUCAAUUUCUCCCUUAAGUCUUGAUAAAUAGACCAUCUGCUGUUCAUAAACAUCAUCUUGUCUGCACAGAAAUUUUCCAGCAGCCAUGGAUGUCAAGAACAAGGUAUGGUUCAUGCUCUGUGUUCUCUCCGUAUGCUUCACUCUCAAACCUCAUUUAUCCUUUGCUGCUCGUGACUCCAUCUCUGCAAACCAAUCUCUCUCUGGGGAUCAAACUAUUGUCUCUGCUGGUGGGGUCUUUGAACUAGGCUUCUUCAAGCCAGGUAACUCUUCAAACUACUACAUAGGCAUUUGGUUCAAAAAGUUGUCAGAACAAACCAUAGUUUGGGUGGCAAAUAGAGACAAACCAGUUUCCGAUAAAAACUCCUCAGUGUUAAGAAUAUCCGAUGGUAAUUUAGUUCUUUUAAAUGAGUCUAAAACGCCCAUCUGGUCCACAAGUUUGAACUCUAGUAAUACAACAGCUUCAAUCGAAGCAGUUGUUCUAGAUGAAGGUAAUUUUGUUUUGAGAGAUUCUUCAGCUAAUUCAACCUUAUGGCAAAGCUUUGAUCAUCCGACUCAUACAUGGCUUCCCGGAAUGAAGUUUGGAAUAAACAAACGGGCAAAAGUAAACCAAUUUCUCAUCUCAUGGAAGAAUAAAGAGGAUCCUGCACCGGGUCUCUUUUCGCUUGAGCUAGCCCCAGAUGGAUCGGAUCAAUAUGUUAUAAUGUGGAAUAGGUCUGAACAAUACUGGAAUAGUGGAGUCUGGACUGGAAUAAAUUUUGCCAAUGUUCCGGAAAUGAUAUCUCAUCAUAAUUUCGACUUCAACUACAUUUCGGAUGAAAAUGGGAGAUAUUUCGUUUAUUCUGUUACUAAUUCUAUGACAACUCGUUUUGUUAUUGAUUCUUCAGGGCAGAUUGAGCAGAUGUUUUGGUUGGAGUCUAGCAAGGCUUGGUUUCAGUUCUGGUCGCAACCAAGGCAACCUUGUGAUGUUUAUGCUUAUUGUGGCGCAUUUGGCAGCUGUAAUGAGGGAAACCAGUCUUUCUGUGCUUGUCUGCCAGGUUUUAGGCCAAAAUGGGAGAACAAUUGGAACUUGAUGCAGGAUUAUUCUUCUGGCUGUGUGAGGAAAACCCAACUGCAGUGUGAAAAUACUGUUGUUACAAAUGGAAAGAGUGACAAGUUUUUAGCAAAUUCUCACAUGGUAUUGCCUAAACAUCCACAAUCUGUGGCAGUUUUUGUGGAAGCAUGAAAUGAUCUAGCUGAUAUAUAACUCAUCCCUGGUAUCUUCACCCCACCAUAUGGUUGAGAGCAUACCCAAGUUGGCUGUCCAUGAGAAGAAAAAUCAGAAUAAGAAUGCAGGCAGGAUGCACCAUGGGUAAAACCAUGCUGGCUACUGCAAGUUUUCUGCGCCAUAUAAGGAUUCUUGUAACAUUUCAAUUCAAAUGGCACCUCUAAAACUUCUUUCUUACAUAAACAAGACUUGUUAUGAGGCCUCAAGAAAUUAUGCCCCUGACAUUCCAGUCCUUUCUUGCUUCUGCAAUAAUUUUGAGGGUUAAAGGAUCCCUUUGUUUUCAAUUUCUGUUCUUCAUAUUCAUCCAAUUCACAAGUGGCUACUUGACUUCAUUGGGACACAUGUCGAUCAAGUCUCCUAUUUAAUCUCUGAUGAGCAACCCAUCGAGAGGACUCAACCAACACCUUCUCUGCUGUACCGUACAUCCGCCUUGGCCGUGCUUGUCUGCCAGGUUUUAGGCCAAAAUGGGAGAACAAUUGGAACUUGAUGCAGGAUUAUUCUUCUGGCUGUGUGAGGAAAACCCAACUGCAGUGUGAAAAUACUGUUGUUACAAAUGGAAAGAGUGACAAGUUUUUAGCAAAUUCUCACAUGGUAUUGCCUAAACAUCCACAAUCUGUGGCAGGAGGGAGUAUCAAGGAAUGUGAAAAAACCUGCUCGAGGAACUGCUCUUGCACUGCUUAUGCUUAUGAAGACAAUGCUUGUUCAAUAUGGAUUGGAAGUCUCUUGAGUCUGCAUCAACUUUCACCAGGCGACGCAAAUGGGAAAACUAUUCAUGUCAAGCUUGCAGCUUCGGAGUUUUCAAGUUCCAGUAAUAACAAGGGAACAGUCAUUGGUGCUGUCGUGGGUUCAGUGUCAUUUGUAGCUCUAUUAGGCCUUCUUGCUUUUAUGUAUUUCAGGAAGAGAGAGAAUACAAUGAAAACAAGCAAAUCAGUGGAGGAUGGUUCGUUGGUGGCAUUUGCAUACAAGGAUUUGCUAACAGCCACAAAGAAUUUCUCUGAAAAAUUGGGGGGAGGAGGUUUUGGUUCUGUUUUCAAAGGGAGGCUGCCUAAUUCAAGUGUCAUAGCUGUGAAGAAGCUGCAGAGCUUCAGCCAAGGAGAGAAACAAUUCAGAGCAGAAGUCAGCACAAUAGGGAACAUCCAACAUGUCAAUCUAGUUAGGCUUCGUGGAUUCUGCUCUGAAGGUACAAAAAAAUUAUUGGUCUAUGAUUACAUGCCAAAUGGAUCCCUAGAUUCGCACAUCUUCCAUAGAGAGAAUUCAAAGGUUCUUGAUUGGGAAACAAGAUACCAAAUUGCACUAGGGACAGCCAGAGGAUUGGCUUAUCUCCACGAGAAGUGCAGAGACUGCAUCAUACACUGCGACAUAAAGCCAGAGAACAUUCUAUUAGAUGUUCAAUGGUGUCCAAAAGUGGCAGAUUUUGGCAUGUCAAAGCUUGUUGGGAGAGAAUUCAGCAGAGUCCUAACGACCAUUAGAGGAACAAGAGGGUAUCUCGCACCAGAAUGGCUUUCAGGAGUGGCCAUAACAGCAAAAGCUGAUGUUUACAGCUAUGGAAUGAUGCUCUUUGAAAUUGUUUCAGGAAGGAGAAACUUUGAAUGGAACUCUGUAUACUCUGAAGAUGAAGAAAUGAAAUACUUCCCAACUUGGGCAGCAAGCCUAAUGAGUGAAGGUGGCAAUGUGCUUAGCCUUUUAGACAAAAGACUUGAGGGUAGUGCUGAUGUAGAAGAGCUUUCAAGGAUUUGCAAAGUUGCUUGUUGGUGUAUCCAAGAUGAUGAAACUCAUAGGCCAUCAAUUGGUCAAGUGGUUCAAAUACUUGAGGGGGUUUUGGAAGUGACUCAGUCUCCAAUUCCAAGAUCCCUUAAAGUAAUCGCAGAUAACAAGGAGGAUAUAAUCUUCUUCACCGAGUCAUCUGAGACUUCAGGUGCUUCAUCUCAAGCUAAGUUCGCUGGAUCAUCAGCAAGUUCCUAAAUCCUUACCAAGAUAAUCAAUUUUAUUUGAGUAGUAUUUGUUAUUUCUGUUUUUUGGAUUUGGGUGGUGUUUUGUUAUUUCUGUUUGACUAUAGUCUUGAAUUUAUUGCCCUUAUUUGAGUACUAUUAUCCUAGAUAGUCUACUAUACAUAUAUGGUAUUAAUCUAUAUUAUUUUCAUAUGGUUUGAACUUCGUAUGUCGUAGCAUAAUGUUUAUCAAAAUCUCGUGUCUGCAAGUUGUUUAUUUUCUAGCUGUUAAUAAUGUCCACUCGAAUGAUAACAAUUUAUCUACCUGUUAAUAUAUGAUUUUAAUAUAUGUUUAUAUGCAGAACACAACAUAACAGAACCAACCAUUUGAAAUUUCAUUUCAGUUGGACGAGUAAUCUAAAGUCGAAUUUCACUGUCAUCAAUGGUGAAACAAAGAGUCCAGUUCAUACUUCAGAGUCGUUGCAAAUUAAUUAAAAUGACUAGAAGAUUGGAAUGAUUAGCGAAAUAGACAAACUGAAUUGAUAAGAUAAACAAAUAGAUAGAAUAAAACUAAAACUAUGUACUGAAAACAUCCGAAUUUGUUGCAGUGUAUUGCAGCACCAAUUUCAUUUGGGCCAAGAAUGUACAAAGAAGCAAAAUCUUGACGAGUUAUGUUCGAUAAAGUUCAAUGCAGUUAAAUGAAAAAACUGAAACUAACCCCUCUGUAUAUUCCAGUUUCUAUUCUGUUUCCAAUGCACCGCAAAAACUUAUACGCAGUAAUGAGACUGCAGUAGCACAUUACAAAAUGAUACAUCUGCAUGUCCCCUAUAAUAUCUGUUCAUGCUAAGUAACCCAAAUCUGCAAUGGUAAUUGGUUGAAGAAAAGAGGGUACUAAUCGUAUUAUAAUACUGAAUAUGGUCAGCUUAGUAUUAUUUAUGGGAACUGAAAAACUCAUAGUCUUUGUGUCGAUUGACUACCUUGAUGCCAUCCGUCCAAACACAACCUCUAGCAAAAAGAGACGCAUUUUCCUCUAGUAUUCUGAGCUGUUCCCGAAGAAUUUCAGAACGGUCAAAAAGUGAAGAGUCUUUGAAAGAGGAUUCUUCAGGUACUUUGAGAUCAAACCAGCUUUCUGCCUGCAGGUAUAAAGCUUGUGAAGUGCUGUACCACAGCUCUGAUCAAUAUCCAGAGAAGAAUUAUAGCUUAUCUCAAAAUGAGUGAAAUUAUUAAAAUAUAUAUAUGUAUAGCUCAUUUCUAUAAUCCAUUGGGUUCAUAGUCUUAGAUAUCCUGAUAAGAAUUCCAACCCACUGCUUCUACAUAUACCCAGACAUUGAACACAAUUUGGUUUAUUUAUUUCUUAACAACAUCAUGGUCGUGAUUCAAAGUUCAAAACAUGAAUUUCAAGGAUUAUGAUAUCUAUGUGGCACGUGUGUCAAGUUUAGUAAAACUUAAAUCUCCAUGGGAAUUCGAUGAAAAUCGACAAGCUCCUUCUUAGUCAUAGGUCCGGGCGGCAAAGCUUAUUCAGUUUUGACUUUGGAUACCUGACUGCCUGAACAAUUGAUUAAGGACGAACCUAUACUAUGCACGUCGGAUAGUAGCAGCAGAACCACUCAAAAUAGGCAGAAGAUUGCAAUCUAAACCAAUAUAUGACAAGGGUAGAACAUAUAGAGCUUAAACUUUACCUGUGCCUUGUAGCUUAGCAAUCCCACUACAGGGGAGACAACACAGAGUGUUUUCUUUUUGAGGGUAUCAGUUGGCACAUCUCUCAUAACCAUAUGUCCUAGCGAAUGAUAAGUCAAGAAAGCUGCACCAAAUUUCCCUUCGGGAAUUCGAAAUAUAGGAUACCAAGCCACUGAAAACCUAAAACCAAUUUAUUCAGGUUGUAAUAAGAAUGUCACAGAUUGGUUCCCCCCACCCCAAAAAAUAAGUAAAUAAAUGAAAGCACCAUGUGGUGACUGAUUCUCACCAGGAUGCAAGAUGUAGAUCAUUCAGCUUCAAAGAUUUCAACUUUGAUAUGUCACCAAAUACUUGAAGAUAAGAAGCUUCAGCAUCAAAAAGAUCCAGAAUUCUGCAAUUAGUAAUUAGUUAAGAUCAAUCCAGAUACAUCUUAACACCCCAUUUCAAAUAAAAAUGAUGAGGGUUUCAAUGAAUUGUAAACAGAAUGAGAAGAAAGAGUUCAACGAAAAAAAGCCUACAUGAUUAGCGGUGAUUGGAAAUGGAUAACUAUGAGUGAGUACGAAUUAAGAUAACAAGAUAAAAAGAAGACACAACUACAGCAGUGAGGACAAAACAUGUCAAACCUUCAACUAGGGCAAUGGUUGGGCACACCACACAAGAAAAGCUGAAACGGAACUACAAAUCAACCUUGUAGAAUCAUCAUUUUCAUGUACGACUUUUAUGAAUUCUGUAAAUAUGGCAAUGUAAGUUUUGAGGUAAGAAAGCAGAACUCUCAAUGCACAUGGUACAAUAACCUACAGCAAUAUCUUAAAUACUCCAAGAUGCAAUUUCUUCAAGUUAAUGAAUAAACUACAGAUUAAAUACCAUGUGAGAGAAAUAUGUCAGACUCAAGUUUAGAAAAAUAGUUCUAAUAGCAUCCACUAUAAAUAAUUGAUUGUAUAUCAACCUAGCAAUUUGAUUUAGCUACGGCCUGAUGAUUAUAAUUUUCAAUACAGCAAGCGAAAGAUAAAGGCUAGUGGCGAAAUUUACUUAUUAUGAAGAGGCCUUCGCAGCCAAGGUUUCUCAGUUUCAAAAAAUUCAAAUAAAAGUUCACAAUUACUGGAGCGAUCAGGUGAUGGAGUGAAACUCUGGGAGUGGCCUUCAGGACAGAAAGCUUUAUAUGAAUUGACACUCUCUUCAAUCGAGCCAAAUUUCAGCUCUGGGGCCAAAAGAUUUUUUCCCUCUAAUGCUGUUGAGCUAUUUCUGAUAUACAUGUCAGAGUUGGAGCGCUCUUCACUUGUACCACAAGAAUUAGAUAGAUAUGUGUAGCCAAACAAUUGAACAGCUGAAAGACAAGGAACAAAAUGAGCAUCAAACGAUGCUGAUUCAGUAAGCCGCCCUUUUAGUUUCUGAGAAUGACUUUUAGUCCAUAAUUCCCUGGCUCCUCGUACCAGUUCCAAACAGAAAAAAGUGAUGUAUUAGGUAUCUGGUGCUUACACAAGGAGCUAUCAGACAACUGAUCACCCAAACACAAAGAACAUUUUCCGUGUUGAUAUAAUGAGGCAAUAGCAGGAGCAGCGGAGUGGAGGAAUCUUUCGAACUCCGCAAGUGGACAUCCUGUUUCUAGCUCAAAACCCUCAGAUACUAGUUGCAUUUUGUAAGCAGCAUUUAGGGGAUCUGUUACCAUUAAGCCAACGAUAAGCUGUUGAACAUCUUUCAAAUUUUGCACAUAUUUCAUUCUAAUUUCAGCACUCUUGAUGUGAUGGACUUCUGUUGUGGUACACUGACUGUCAGAAUUUGGAGCUUCAGUUUCAACUAGAUUCAAACUGCUGCUACCAAUUAAGUGUGUACUUUUAAAUUUGCUUAACAUGGCAGAUGCACGAUGAUCAAUUACAUUUCCCCCCGAACGGCCAUCCUUCUCUACUUCAUGUAAAAGUCGCAAGUCGCCAUUACAAACAUGACAGAUACCGGCAGAACCAGUUUUUUCUGAAAUACUUGACCCCUUAGUGCCGACAGCAACCCACUUCUUUGCAUUCAUUCUAGAAGUAACAUCUUUUAUGAAUUGGUUUUCAUUAAAUUGUUCAAAUUUUACGCAUGAUUCACUUUUUGUGGAAGCAUGAAAUGAUCUAGCUGAUACGUAACUCAUCCCUGGUAUCUUCACCCCACCGUAUGGUUGAGAGCAUACCCAAGUUGGCUGUCCAUGAGAAGAAAAAUCAGAAUAAGAAUGCAGGCAGGAUGCACCAUGGGUAAAACCAUGCUGGCUACUGCAAGUUUUCUGCGCCAUAUAAGGAUUCUUGUAACAUUUCAAUUCAAAUGGCACCUCUAAAACUUCUUUCUUACAUAAACAAGACUUGUUAUGAGGCCUCAAGAAAUUAUGCCCCUGACAUUCCAGUCCUUUCUUGCUUCUGCAAUAAUUUUGAGGGUUAAAGGAUCCCUUUGUUUUCAAUUUCUGUUCUUCAUAUUCAUCCAAUUCACAAGUGGCUACUUGACUUCAUUGGGACACAUGUCGAUCAAGUCUCCUAUUUAAUCUCUGAUGAGCAACCCAUCGAGAGGACUCAACCAACACCUUCUGGUGGAUUCUCACAUCUGUUUUUGUCUUGUUAUUUCCUGCAUUUGCUACACCAAUGUGCCUAGAAGAUUCAAUUGUUGGAGUGGGCAGCAAUCCUUUACCAAAAAAUGAGUUGUGCUCGACAAAAAGGUUCUUCUGAAGCAUACUUGCAUCUCCCUGUAGAUAAUUGCGUUGCAAUUUGUUACCCUCACUGGUUUGUGUUUCCCUUACAUUCCUCUGCUUCUUCCGCCAGACUGAUUGGCUAUUUUCCUUCCCUGUCAUGAUAUGUUGGUGAUUUCUAGUCUUAUGGACAGCAUCAAGUUCAGAUGCCAAGUUGUGGCUCUUAAAUCCAUUUCUUUCUCUGAUAGCAUGAGAACUGUUACAGACAUCACACCCUUGCUUAUUCAAUCCAGAUACAUCUUAACACCCCAUUUCAAAUAAAAAUGAUGAGGGUUUCAAUGAAUUGUAAACAGAAUGAGAAGAAAGAGUUCAACGAAAAAAAGCCUACAUGAUUAGCGGUGAUUGGAAAUGGAUAACUAUGAGUGAGUACGAAUUAAGAUAACAAGAUAAAAAGAAGACACAACUACAGCAGUGAGGACAAAACAUGUCAAACCUUCAACUAGGGCAAUGGUUGGGCACACCACACAAGAAAAGCUGAAACGGAACUACAAAUCAACCUUGUAGAAUCAUCAUUUUCAUGUACGACUUUUAUGAAUUCUGUAAAUAUGGCAAUGUAAGUUUUGAGGUAAGAAAGCAGAACUCUCAAUGCACAUGGUACAAUAACCUACAGCAAUAUCUUAAAUACUCCAAGAUGCAAUUUCUUCAAGUUAAUGAAUAAACUACAGAUUAAAUACCAUGUGAGAGAAAUAUGUCAGACUCAAGUUUAGAAAAAUAGUUCUAAUAGCAUCCACUAUAAAUAAUUGAUUGUAUAUCAACCUAGCAAUUUGAUUUAGCUACGGCCUGAUGAUUAUAAUUUUCAAUACAGCAAGCGAAAGAUAAAGGCUAGUGGCGAAAUUUACUUAUUAUGAAGAGGCCUUCGCAGCCAAGGUUUCUCAGUUUCAAAAAAUUCAAAUAAAAGUUCACAAUUACUGGAGCGAUCAGGUGAUGGAGUGAAACUCUGGGAGUGGCCUUCAGGACAGAAAGCUUUAUAUGAAUUGACACUCUCUUCAAUCGAGCCAAAUUUCAGCUCUGGGGCCAAAAGAUUUUUUCCCUCUAAUGCUGUUGAGCUAUUUCUGAUAUACAUGUCAGAGUUGGAGCGCUCUUCACUUGUACCACAAGAAUUAGAUAGAUAUGUGUAGCCAAACAAUUGAACAGCUGAAAGACAAGGAACAAAAUGAGCAUCAAACGAUGCUGAUUCAGUAAGCCGCCCUUUUAGUUUCUGAGAAUGACUUUUAGUCCAUAAUUCCCUGGCUCCUCGUACCAGUUCCAAACAGAAAAAAGUGAUGUAUUAGGUAUCUGGUGCUUACACAAGGAGCUAUCAGACAACUGAUCACCCAAACACAAAGAACAUUUUCCGUGUUGAUAUAAUGAGGCAAUAGCAGGAGCAGCGGAGUGGAGGAAUCUUUCGAACUCCGCAAGUGGACAUCCUGUUUCUAGCUCAAAACCCUCAGAUACUAGUUGCAUUUUGUAAGCAGCAUUUAGGGGAUCUGUUACCAUUAAGCCAACGAUAAGCUGUUGAACAUCUUUCAAAUUUUGCACAUAUUUCAUUCUAAUUUCAGCACUCUUGAUGUGAUGGACUUCUGUUGUGGUACACUGACUGUCAGAAUUUGGAGCUUCAGUUUCAACUAGAUUCAAACUGCUGCUACCAAUUAAGUGUGUACUUUUAAAUUUGCUUAACAUGGCAGAUGCACGAUGAUCAAUUACAUUUCCCCCCAAAUGGCCAUCCUUCUCUACUUCAUGUAAAAGUGGCAAGUCGCCAUUACGAACAUGACAGAUACCAGCAGAACCAGUUUUUUCUGAAAUACUUGACCCCUUAGUGCCAACAGCAACCCGCUUCUUUGCAUUCAUUCUAGAAGUAACAUCUUUUAUGAAUUGGUUUUCAUUAAAUUGUUCAAAUUUUACGCAUGAUUCACUUUUUGUGGAAGCAUGAAAUGAUCUAGCUGAUACGUAACUCAUCCCUGGUAUCUUCACCCCACCGUAUGGUUGAGAGCAUACCCAAGUUGGCUGUCCAUGAGAAGAAAAAUCAGAAUAAGAAUGCAGGCAGGAUGCACCAUGGGUAAAACCAUGCUGGCUACUGCAAGUUUUCUGCGCCAUAUAAGGAUUCUUGUAACAUUUCAAUUCAAAUGGCACCUCUAAAACUUCUUUCUUACAUAAACAAGACUUGUUAUGAGGCCUCAAGAAAUUAUGCCCCUGACAUUCCAGUCCUUUCUUGCUUCUGCAAUAAUUUUGAGGGUUAAAGGAUCCCUUUGUUUUCAAUUUCUGUUCUUCAUAUUCAUCCAAUUCACAAGUGGCUACUUGACUUCAUUGGGACACAUGUCGAUCAAGUCUCCUAUUUAAUCUCUGAUGAGCAACCCAUCGAGAGGACUCAACCAACACCUUCUGGUGGAUUCUCACAUCUGUUUUUGUCUUGUUAUUUCCUGCAUUUGCUACACCAAUGUGCCUAGAAGAUUCAAUUGUUGGAGUGGGCAGCAAUCCUUUACCAAAAAAUGAGUUGUGCUCGACAAAAAGGUUCUUCUGAAGCAUACUUGCAUCUCCCUGUAGAUAAUUGCGUUGCAAUUUGUUACCCUCACUGGUUUGUGUUUCCCUUACAUUCCUCUGCUUCUUCCGCCAGACUGAUUGGCUAUUUUCCUUCCCUGUCAUGAUAUGUUGGUGAUUUCUAGUCUUAUGGACAGCAUCAAGUUCAGAUGCCAAGUUGUGGCUCUUAAAUCCAUUUCUUUCUCUGAUAGCAUGAGAACUGUUACAGACAUCACACCCUUGCUUAUUCUCAUCUGGAACUUUACAGCAAGUUCUACUAUUGCAGUUUUGAAUAUUCAGAUCUUCAGAACACAGUUUCACUUGUAUUUCACAUAGAGAAGUUGAAUUGACCAGUGGGGUAUCUUUUUCCAAGCCCUUUUCACAGUUUAUAGCAGGAUUGAGUAUAUCCUCCAUAAUUGAUGAAGAAGAUGACUUUGCAUCAAUAACAUCAUAUUUACUUUCUCCUGCCAUAGAAACAAUCUUAUCGGAGAUCUUUUUACUUGAAUAAGUUCUCUUUUGUUGUUCUUCUUUUUCUUUCUAAAAUGUUUCUUGAACUUCGGAUCAUCAGUAAUUGAAUCCACUUUGCUGUUUACCUGCUUAUCACUAAAACCAAGAGUAUCUGAUUGGAAAGAUCCAGCACAUCUUGACUUCUCAUUACACACAACAUCUGGUACAGCUAGAUCUCCGUACGGCUUCAAAGCCUCAGAGAUCCAGAUGUCACCAAGAACUGCACAACCUAAAGAGCUUGACGAACUACAGAUACCAUUUCCCCGUUCUAUAUGUUGAACUAAUGCCCCUGAAACUUCCAUCUCUAGAACAUUUAUCAAUUUAAAGAUUUUCAGUCCUUAUCUAAAUCAACACCAGAAAACAAAGCCUGCAAUGGGAAAUGAACAAGUUAAAGAAAAGAGGCACGAUCAAGUUCAAAAUGAAAUCAAAUCCUACUAGAGACAGAUAACAUGUUAACAAUAAAGUCAACAGAAUUUGAAUGAAACAAGAAUCCACUCCAGCCUGUCAAAUAUUAAAGCAACAGAAAAGCAAAGAACCAAAAGAGCAUCUCAUUUAUCAUAUGAACCAAAGAUUGGAUAAAGUUAGUAAAAAUAAUUGGAAUAAAAUGAUAUGAACAAGCACUCAAACCAAAUAUACUCAUAUGACCCUAAAAUUUGCAUUUUAGUUAAUAAGAUACUAAAAUGAAUUUAACUAACUACCUAACAGUACAAGCACACAUCUCAUGAAACAAACCAAUUUAUCAGGGCAUUUGCGUACAUACAAAAGUCCAAAUAUCUCUUUAAAUCAAACCCACCUAAUUUUUACCAACAAAAGUUAUUUUUCUUGACCUAAUAUAACUCAAGGGUAAAACUAAAUAUGACCCCAAGAAAUAACCCAAACCAUGUAAUUUAUUCAAAUGCACGUUUUCAAGUACUUCUCAGACAGUUAUUUAAUUCAUCUGCUACCCAGAAAAAAAAAAUGAAAGUAGAAAAAAAGAACAAGAACAAGAAAAAGAAUGCCACUUUACCAAGUGCAGGUGAUGGGUUCUUGUGACUGCUCAAAGAACCCAGAAAAUAUAAUUAAAAGGAAAUAUCCAUGUUCCUUUAACCAAAUUAAGAAACAUACAAAGAAAACGACAAUUUUUGAAACAAGAAACGUGAAUAAUACUGAUCAAAUUAUGACACCCGUAUUGAAUUUAGAUCAAACAAAAAGAUUAAACAGAAAAAAAAAGGAAAAGAUAAAAGAAAAAGAAAGUACCUGAGAGACAAAAUGAGAAGCGCGCCAGAAGCCAAAAUAUGAAAAAUGGGUUUUUGGGGUUGACUUUUGAGUCUGUUUCAAUUUUUAUUUAACGGAUUUCUUGAAAUUGCUAGGAAAUAUUCUCUUUUUUAGAGUGUGGAGUAGGCAUAUCACAGUUGAUGAGGUCGAAUCUCUCUCUAUGGGCGCCAUGUGUCUAAUACGUAUGAUGAUAACACAAGCAAAAUACCAUAAUGGAUGGAUUAUGGGCAGCCCGCGGAAUUGUCUGUUUUACCCCGCUAUUGUAACCAUCCAGGAGGAUCCGUUUUAAUAUGUUUUUUUGCUACACUUUAAAUAUUCCAAUAAAUUAAUUAAUUCAUGUUUAUAAACAGUGUUAUGGAAAAUAAGGGAGAUGGUGAAUAAAUAAUAUUAUAAGUUUUUUAAAAAGUUACAUAAAUAAAAUUAAUAGUUUUUUAAAUAAAAAAUUAUUUCUAAAGAAACAUGAAUUACUGCCAAGUAGCAUGUGAAUAAACAUUUAAUUAUUCAAAAAAGAAUGAUUAUGUACUCUUUGAUGUAUGUUACGACGUUAAUUGGUGAGAAUGAAAUAUUGUACAAUAAAUUAUCUUAGAAAUUUAUUAAAGUAUACUAUGUACCAAUGAAUGUUAUUUUUUCCAAUGAAAAUUUUGGGAUGAUAAAUUGAUAAUAUUAGGGAUAGGACUAUUUGAGCUCUAAAAAUUAUUUUAAAUACUCUAUUAUUCUAUAGAUUUGUGUACUAUGAACUCUCGACUUUCUUCCAAUAGUUAGUAGUGUGAAAGUGGUGUAAUGAGGGAGUGAUGUGGUGUCUUAAUUACUCUCCCGUUUAGCUCUUUGUUAAUGUUUUUUAGGUCUGCUGUUUUAAAUUUGUGAAGUUUUUUAUAUUGUCGCUAUUUUCCAUUAUUGUUAUUGGUGGUCUAUAUGAUGGAUACGAUGGAAUUAGCGAAACUUUGUGGCUCUUUAACUUUGCGUGACAAAGCAAGUACGAUUUUGUCUCAGAUGCUGUCCAAAAGCGAAGGGAGGCAAUGGCAGUGAAUUACUUGAUUAGUAAGAUAUUAACGAAGCAGGUGAUUUCCAAAGAUGCCUUCACUAAGAAUUUUCCAGUGAUUUGAAGAACAUUCAGGGAGUUAAGAUCAAAUGUUUAGAGAAGAAUGUAUUCUUGUUCUGUUUUAGCUGACGAGUUCUUUUGUUGGCCCAUGGCAUUUUGAUAGGACAUUGGUUGUUCUCACUCCAUUGCAAGGUAAUGGUGAUUUGACUGUGGAAUGUUCUGACAAAGUGAUAUUUUGGGUGUAAAUUUAUAACGUGCCCUUAUUGUAUAUAUUAAAAGAGAUAACUGAACUUCAACUGAGUAUACAUGGAACGAUGGAGAAAAUAAAUAUGAGAUCAUCUGGUGAUUGUAUGAGAAAGUAUCUGAAAGUCUAUGUUACUUUUGAUAUUGUGUUACCUUUGAUAUUUCUUAUUCGUUAAAACGGAAUUUACGUGUGAAAUUCCAUUCAUUGGAUCUUAAAUGUGUGUUUGGUACAAUAUGAGAAGUAGUUAAAUUUUUAUUUUCACUGUGAUAGGAUAAGACAUAUAUUUCAUAAGUGUGAGGUGCAUGAGUUAGCAUGGGCAGAGGAUGGCUCCCACACCACUCUUCUGUUUGGGAAUUGGAUGAGAAUGACUGUUGGUGCUUUCGUCAAACGGCUAAAAAAUCCACUAAUGGUCAAGGCUAAUACAAAGAGUGGCAGUGAGGAGUUGAAUGCAUCGUUGAUGACACCAAAUAAGCCGGAUACAGUUAUUAAUGGUGUGAAAAUUUUGGAUGAAUUUCAAAAUGUGAGUGAUUUAAAUUUUGAAAGCGCUAAUGUUGCAGACAAGGGAGCUUUUCCUUAGCUUAUGAUCUUUGGUUUCUAUAUGGCUUCUUGGCUGCUUAACUUCUUUACGGCUUCUAGGCCGCUUGACCUCUUUACGGCUCCUAAGUGUUCGACUUCUUUAUGGUUUCUUGGUUGCUUUACUUCUUUAUGCUCUGCUUCCUUGAUGCCUCUAUGUUUCUUUUUCCCUUUCUUUUCCUUCUCGUCUGCGCCUCCAUUUCGUUCCUACAUAUUUUGACAGCACAGAAUUUUUGGUUGUUGCAGCGGCCAUGGAAAUCAUCAAGAACAAUUCAUGGUUGAUGCUUUUUGUUCUUUUCACGUGCUUCUCACUCAAAUCCCAUGUCUCCUUCGGAGCUGACACCAUUUCUGCAAACCAAUCUCUCUCUGGUGAUCAAACGAUCGUUUCUAAAGGUGGGGUCUUUGCAUUUGGUUUCUUCAACCCAGCUCCUGGUAAGUCUUCAAACUAUUACAUAGGCAUGUGGUACAAUAAAGUCUCUGAAAGAACUAUAGUUUGGGUAGCCAACAGAGAACAGCCAGUUUCUGAUAGAUUCUCUUCGGUUUUAAGAAUCUCAGAUGGUAACUUAAUUCUUUUUAAUGAGUCCCAACAACCCAUUUGGUCCACAAUUUUGACCGCUACCAGCAGACGUUCUGUGGUAGCAGUUCUUUUAGAUGAAGGAAAUCUUGUUUUGAGAGAUUUGUCAAAUAAUUUGUCGGAGCCGUUAUGGCGAAGUUUUGAUCAUCCAGCUCAUACUCGGAUUCCCGGUAUGAAGCUGACGUUCAACAAGAGAAACAACGUCAGUCAACUUCUCACUUCAUGGAAGAAUAAAGAAAAUUCUGCACCGGGUCUCUUCUCCCUUGAGCUAGCACCAGAUGCAUCAAAUCAAAAUGCUAUUUUGUGGAAUAGGUCUGAGCAGUACUGGAGAAGUGGACCUUGGGAUGAUAAUGCAAAAAUUUUCAGCUUGGUCCCUGAAAUGACACUAAAUUAUAUCUACAAUUUCAGCUAUGUGUCGAAUGAAAACGAGAGCUAUUUCACCAACAAUGUGAAAGAUAGCACUUACACAUCUCGAUUCAUUAUGGAUGUUUCAGGACAGGUUAAGCAGAUGAAUUGGUUGCCUACCAACUCUUGGUUUCUGUUUUGGUCCCAACCAAGACAGCAAUGCAAGGGUUAUGCUUUUUGUGGUCAAUUUAGCACCUGCAAUGAGCAAACUGAGCGUUUUUGUUCUUGUUUGAAAGGUUUUCAACAAAAAUCGGUGAGUGACUGGAAUUUGGAAGAUUAUUCUGGUGCCCGCUGCAGUGUGAAAAUAAUAGUCUUGCCAAUGGAAAAAGCGACCAAUUUUUCCAGUACAGUAACAUGAAAUUGCCUAAACAUCCACAAUCUGUGGCAGUAGGGGGUAUCAGGGAAUGUGAAACACACUGCUUGAAUAACUGCUCUUGCACUGCUUAUGCUUACAAAGACAACGCUUGCUCGAUUUGGGUAGGAAGUUUCGUGGGUCUGCAACAGCUAC
rnacentral:lncRNA from 1 species